rnacentral:rRNA from 1 species
UGGCGGACGGGUGAGUAAUGUCUGGGAAACUGCCUGAUGGAGGGGGAUAACUACUGGAAACGGUAGCUAAUACCGCAUAACGUCGCAAGACCAAAGAGGGGGACCUUCGGGCCUCCUGCCAUCGGAUGUGCCCAGAUGGGAUUAGCUAGUAGGCGGGGUAACGGCUCACCUAGGCGACGAUCCCUAGCUGGUCUGAGAGGAUGACCAGCCACACUGGAACUGAGACACGGUCCAG